rnacentral:rRNA from 1 species
UACGAAGGGUGCAAACGUUGCUCGGAAUUAUUGGGCGUAAAGCGCACGUAGGCGGCAUUGCAAGUCCCAUGUGAAAUCCCACGGCUUAACCGUGGAAGUGCAUGGGAAACUGCAGUGCUUGAGUACUUAAGAGGAUCGCGGAAUUCCCGGUGUAGAGGUGAAAUUCGUAGAUAUCGGGAAGGAACACCAGUGGCGAAGGCGGCGACUGG